GNCGNGUGCUCUCUUCUAGUCGUCGCUUCUUUUUCCCGGAGCUUGCUCCCCGGAAAAAGAGGAGUGGCGAACGGGUGAGUAACACGUGGGUAACCUGCCCAUCAUAACGGGAUAACACUUGGAAACAGGUGCUAAUACCGUAUAACAAUCGAAACCGCAUGGUUUUGAUUUGAAAGGCGCUUUCGGGUGUCGCUGAUGGAUGGACCCGCGGUGCAUUAGCUAGUUGGUGAGGUAACGGCUCACAAGGCCACGAUGCAUAGCCGACCUGAGAGGGUGAUCGGCCACAUUGGGACUGAAACACGGCCCAAACUCCUACGGGAGGCCACCAUAGGGAAUCUUCGACAAUGGACCAACGUCUGACGAGCAACGCCGCGUGAGUGAAGAAGGCUUUCGGAUCGUAAAACUCUGUUGUUAGAGAAGAACAAGGAUGAAGUA
rnacentral:rRNA from 1 species